UUGAGUGGCUAUAGCGGUAGUCACUCUGAAAGCUUUUGUUUGUAAGGGUACGCCUACCCUAGCAAGACUGGUUGAGGCAGCGGAGUACUGCGCGCCUUUCCCUGGAAACCAAGUAGAAUUUGUUCCCUGGACGCCUGAUCCAGGGGAAUUGCAGUUCAGAGAAAGUACACGCCGAGUGCGGUACCCCAGGGAAUCUCAUAUCGGACACCCGGAAGAUAUCACUAUUUGGCACUCAAUCAGUUAUUGUCGAACACCGGAUAGAUAUUCCUAUUUGGAACGUAAUUACACACAGUGACCUCUGUUUCUCAAACUUCUGAAAAUACUUGUAGAGGCCUGAGAGGUUGCCAGCACUUUCCCUCCCGAUCCUUCUGUUUCUCUUUAGAAUUACAAAAGGGGAGGAUAGUGAUUGUACCUACCUUAUGAGGAACAAUUGAGGGCAUUCACCAAUCAGACAGUCACGGAGUUCAUCAUGGCAGGGUACCAGCCAGUACGACAAAGGAAGAGGUCCCCACUUGCCACCGGCCUCAUCAGAUCCAGGUCUAGCCCCGAUCUUCGCCCCUUGUCAGUAGGAAGCAGCUCC